CCCACCCUAUAAUUUUACUUAUCUUAAUUGUUUUCCUUGAACACAUAUUUCCUGCUUAUCUGCAUGGCCCUUGGACACAAUACAGUAAACAGGAGUGUUACAUACUAUUUCUCCAAAAGAAACUGCAGCCGAUGGAGCCCAUCACAUGACACAAGCUCUUACUGUGGGUUCCAGACUGUGCAAGGAAACCGACGAAACCAUUGAUCAUCUCCUCAGCUGCUGUAAGAAAAUUACACAGACAGACUACAAACAGAGGCACAACUACGUGGCCCAAAUGAUUCAUUGGAACUUAUGCCUCAAGUACCACCUCCCAGCAGCAAAGAACUAGUGGGAUCACAAACCUGCAAAAGUAUUGGAAAAUGAACAUGCAAAGAUACUGUGGGACUUCCGAAUCCAGACUGACAAAGUUCUGGAACACAACACACCAGACAUCACAGUUGUGGAAAAGAAAAAGGUUUGGAUCAUUGAUGUUGCCAUCCCAGGUGACAAUCGCAUUGAUGAAAAACAACAGGAAAAACUCAGCCGCUAUCAGGACCUCAAGAUGGAACUUCAAAGACUCUAGCAGAAACCAGUGCAGGUGGUCCCGGUGGUGAUCGGCACACUGGGUGCAGUGCCAAAAGAUCUCAGCCGGCAUUUGGAAACAAUAGACAUUGACAAAAUUACGAUCUGCCAACUGCAAAAGGCCACCCUGCUGGGAUCUGCACGCAUCAUCCGAAAAUACAUCACACAGUCCUAGACACUUGGGAAGUGUUCGACUUGUGAAAUCCAGCAUGUCUAUCUUGUUUGCUGUGUCAUACAAUAAAAUAAUAAUAAUAAUAUCUAUGGGGUUGUUGUAUGUCUUUCGACAACACAUAAUAUCUAUGGCUUUGUGUAUCCACACAAAGUCUAGAAAUGUAUCCCCUGUCAACUGCAUAUAUGGGAGUUGCACAGUCUUGGGGAGAAAAAGUGAAAUGAGAUGCCUGCCGAUUGUGUGUGUGUGCACCAUUGACUUAUAUUUGACAUACCGGUACAGUAGAGUCUCACUUAUCCAAACCUCGCUUAUCCAAGCUUCUGGAUAAUCCAAGCCAUUUUUGUAGUCAAUGUUUUCAAUAUAUCAUGAUAUUUUGGUGUUAAAUUCGUAAAUAUAGUAAUUACAACAUAACAUUACUGCAUAUUGAACUACUUUUUCUGUCAAAUGUGUUGUAUAACAUGAUGUUUUGGCGCUUAAUUUGUAAAAUCAUAAUCUAAUUUGAUGUUUAAUAGGCUUUUCCUUAAUCCCUCCUUAUUAUCCAAGAUAUUCGCUUAUCCAAGCUUCUGCUGGCCCGUUUAGCUUGGAUAAGUGAGACUCUACUGUAUUUGACUUGAGGAACUGUGCAUCUCAGUGUAGACUACGCAUUAUGCCCUGUAACAUGGAUGCAAUAUUUCAGAUUAAUUUUUUAAAAACGGUAGCACUGUGCCAGCUGACAGUCUGAAACAGCAGAAGAAACUCUCUGCACUCAACUCACUCACCGCAGGAAUGCCUUUUGUUUGUUGUGGCGGAAAUCCCAACUUGCGCCAGUGACUGUGUCCAAAGUCCUGACAAGGAGUGAGCAGGCGAGGAGCCAAAUCUCUGUUGAAGUUAACAAGAGGUUAUGCGGAAGACUUCCUGAUGCUUGGAUUUUCCUGUAAAUGAUCAGAAAGGGAAUUGCCCCGGGACCUAUAUUAUGAAGUAAGGCCAAGAUACGGGUGCCAAGGAGCGUUAACUGAGUUGAGAAUACUACAGAAAAACAACACAGAAGAAGGGAGAAAAGACUUAUGGGGCAGAAUACUCCAGAGCUUAGUCAUUUCUUUUUUUCUUUUGUUUUGAGAUGGUGUGAUAUUUAGUUGGCUGCCUCACUAGGGAAUUUUUUUUUACUAGAACGUGACUUCCACCUUGCUAUAGUUUUCUUCAUAUAGUUAUAUUGUUAUUGUUAUAUUUAUUUAUUUACAGCAUUUAUAUUCCGCCCUUCUCACCCCGAAGGGGACUCAGGGCGGAUCACAUUACACAUAUAGGCAAACAUUCAAUGCCUUUUAACAUAGAACAAAGACAAGACAAACAUCGGCUCCGAGCGGGCCUCGAACUCAUGACCUCCUGGUCAGAGUGAUUCAUUGCAGCUGGUUGCAGUUGGCUUGCUCUCCAGCCUGCGCCACAGCCCGGGCCUUAUAUUGUUAUCUUCAUAUUGUUAUAUUGUUAGCCAUGAGUUCACAAAUGUAGAGCAUUGCAAUUGCCAAAAGCAUUCCAUGAAAAGAGACAAGACACAAAAAUGCCAAGUCUCUUCUCUUCUCUUCUCUUCUCUUCUCUUCUCUUCUCUUCUCUUCUCUUCUCUUCUCUCUCUCUCUCUCUCUCUCUCUCUCUCUCUCUCUCUCUCUCUCACACACACACACACACACACACACACACACAUAUGAUUGGCUAAUGCUUCCAAUUAAUUGAUGAAAUUAAUCACAAUUAGAUAUGCUGGAGCCCACAGUAACGCAGCACGUUAAAUCACUGAGCUGCUGAAUUGCUGACCGAAAGGUCGGUGGUUCGAAUCCAGGGAGCAGGGUGAGCUCCCACUGUUAGCCACAGCCUAGCAGUUUGGAAACAUGCAAAUGUGAGUAGAUCAAUAGGUACUGCUCUGGCGGGAAGGUAAUGGUGCUCCAUGCAAUCAUGCUGGUCACAUGACCUUUGAGAUUUUAUGGACAACGUCGGCUCUUUGGCUUAGAAAUGGAGAUGAGCACCAACCCCCCCCCCCCCCCCGAGUCAGACACACCUAGACUUAAUGACAAGGGAAAACCUUUAUCUUUACCUUUACCUUAGAUAUGUUGGAUAUCCUUCUCAGAGGUGUACAGUAACAGCCUCUUCUGCGAUGAUUUUCUACAGCCUCCCUUCCAUAUCCAUGGAUUCUGUGUUCAUGGAGUCAACCAUCCACAAGUUGAAAUUGUUUGUUAAAAAUCCAAAAGCAUACCUUGAUUUUGCAUGUUAUAUAAGGAGCAGCAUUUUAUUGCACCCUUGUAUAAAAUGAGGCUUGAGUAUCCAUAAAUUUUGUUAUUCACUGGGGGAUCCUGGAACCAAACAACAGAAGAUACUAAGGACCUCAUCACAAAGGCCCAUGUAUUUGCCAUGCAUCAUGGAAAAUCCAUGGGGUUUCGGCGGGGUGUGUGGAGAACCCAUUGCUCCAUGCCCUGCAUCGCCUGCCUUACCUUGACCCCCAUCUCAUGGGUGGAAGCAUCAUCGUACAGUCCCCCCACUGCUCCUAAGGCAACUUGGAAAGUCACCCAUGUUGCCACAGGGGUGGCAUACUCUGAUUGCUAUGCAUCAUCUAAUGGGCUCCAUGUUGAAAGUGACGAGCAAGCAGCAUACGAUAGGCAAAGCAGCCCACUAUACGGGCUUACUAUACAAUAAUCUGAACUGUGUGGAGCCUUUGGGCAUAAAGCUCUUUCCUAUAGGAAGUUGCACAAAAGAGCAGCAAUUUUAAAUUGUUUGAUGUAGUUUAAUUACAUCAAACCAUGGCAGCAAAUAAAAUCAGAGCAAGACUGAUUGUGGACAUUGCAGUCGACUGCACCGGGGAUGCUUUUAUCUAGUUUUUAACGUGACUGAUAUUUUAUACUGGCUUUUUACCGGUUAUAUUUUGCAAGCUCUGUUUUAUACUCCAUGCAUCCUGCUUUUAACUGUGGAAUUUUACAGUGUUUCUAUAGAUGCUUGGUUGAUAUUGUUACUUAUGUUUUUUUUUAAAAAUGACUGAUCGUAUAUAUUGGUACCCUGUUUCCCCUAAAAUAAGACAUCCUCAGAAAAUAAGACCUAGUAGAGGUUUUGCUGAAUUGCUAAAUAUAAGGCCUCCCCCGAAAGUAAGACCUAGCACCGUUUGUGUUUGGAAGCAUGCCCGCCGAACAGAACACCAGAGCAUAUGCAGGUUUGGUAAAUGUACGUACCAUAGAUUGUUGUACAUGGAAAUAAUGGUAGUAACAAGAAAUUCUUGAUAGGAUUCACAGUUUGUCUGGUUAUGCUUGUUUGUGAUGACAACUACUGUAAAGUAUAUAAUAAAUGUUCAUUUUUUUAAUUCAACAAUAAAUGUGAAUUCUUCUUCAUGGAAAAAUAAGACAUCCCCUGAAAAUAAGACCUAGAGCAUCUUUGGGAGCAAAAAUUUAUAUAAGACACUGUCUUAUUUUCGGGGAAACACGGUAUUUUACCGGUAAUUGUGCAGUUUCCAGCACAUGUUGCACUUGUGCUGCUGCACCUCACAAUGUAUAUUUUGCAUGCUCUGUUUUAUCCUGCUUGCAUCCUACUUUUAACUGUUGGAUUUUACAGUGCUUUCUAUAGAUGUUUGUUUGAUGUUGUUUUUGUAAAUGCAUAUGACCAUUGGUCGGAACAUUAAUAAAUUGAUUGCAAUGCU